rnacentral:misc_RNA from 1 species
AUUGGAGAACCACUUCCUAGAAAUGUUAAAUUAAAGGAAAUUAUUGAUACUCUGCUGAAAGAGAUAAAUUUUCCAGAAGCUGAAUCAGAGGUUUGACUAAUUUAUGUUCUCUGUCCUGAACAUGGUCCAUAGUUUUAGAGUUUUUCUAUUCUAGUUCUAGGGAUCUUAGUUAAUUUUUUGAGUACCAUUAUUUUGUUCACAAGUUUAGUUUACUCUGGUAUAUUUUCCACCAAGCAUACAUGACAUCAGGAAAAUUUUAAAUGGCAUACAACGUGGUGCAAGGUGCAUAAACAUUGUGAAACUUUGGAUCAGUGGGAUCCAUAGAUCCAAGGGUACAUGAACAUUAUGCACCCAUUUCAAGUGUCAUGAAUGGCAUGAUUCUAAUCAAUAUUUUCUGUUUGGAUAGGAAAGAGUGCCAGUGUUGAAUGUUGCUUCACACUUUGAUGCCAAUUUCUCAAUACCAAUUUAGAUGACACUUGAUAUUAUGCAUCAAACUAUGACCUAAUUUUGCUAUAUGCCAAAGCAGGGUACUUGAUGGGAGUAAUCCAGAUAUUCUCGUCCUUAAACAUUAUUUGCAAUUUUGAGGGCUAAGAACAUAGUAAUAGGAAAAUUCUGAAGGAUGAUAAGUCUUCUCUAGAUUUCCCUUCUCAAACACUGCUUCAAUGGGAUUUUGUAAAGGCCCUCUUGUACACUUUUUAAAAAGGCUGAGGCCCUAGAUAAUCAGAAACUUCAUUAGAGAAUUACAGUUGAUUAUUGAAUACUCAUUGGCUUGAUAUAAAAAUUACAGAAAUUUUGAAACUAAUGUCUUUUGUUCUUCUCUUUU